AUUCCAUGAUUUGGACACUUUUAAUCAACUCCUUGAACCUGUUCCAUGCCUCAUGAUAGCUCUCCCCAUUUCGUUGUUGGAAAGUUUGAAUUUUCUAUCUGAUUUU
rnacentral:snoRNA from 1 species